AGAACGAACGCUGGCGGCAUGCCUAACACAUGCAAGUCGAACGAGACCUUCGGGUCUAGUGGCGCACGGGUGCGUAACGCGUGGGAAUCUGCCCUUGGGUUCGGAAUAACAGCGAGAAAUUGCUGCUAAUACCGGAUGAUGACGUAAGUCCAAAGAUUUAUCGCCCAAGGAUGAGCCCGCGUAGGAUUAGCUUGUUGGUGAGGUAAGAGCUCACCAAGGCGACGAUCCUUAGCUGGUCUGAGAGGAUGAUCAGCCACACUGAGACUGAGACACGGCCCAGACCUCCGUACGGGAGGCAGCAGGUGGGGAAUUUGGACAAGUGGGGGAAACCCUGGAUCCAGCCACUCCGCGUGUGCGAUGGAAGGCCGUUCGGUUAGUAAGUCGUACGUUU
rnacentral:rRNA from 1 species